CCUACGGGCGGCAGCAGUGGGGAAUCUUGGGCAAUGGGCGCAAGCCUGACCCAGCAACGCCGCGUGAAGGAAGAAGGCUUUCGGGUUGUAAACUUCUUUUCUCAGGGACGAAGAAAGUGACGGUACCUGAGGAAUAAGCCACGGCUAACUACGUGCCAGCAGCCGCGGUAAUACGUAGGUGGCAAGCGUUAUCCGGAUUUAUUGGGUGUAAAGGGCGUGUAGGCGGGAGCGCAAGUCAGAUGUGAAAACUCAGGGCUCAACCCUGAGCCUGCAUUUGAAACUGUGGUUCUUGAGUACUGGAGAGGCAGACGGAAUUCCUAGUGUAGCGGUGAAAUGCGUAGAUAUUAGGAGGAACACCAGUGGCGAAGGCGGUCUGCUGGACAGCAACUGACGCUGAGGCGCGAAAGCGUGGGGAGCAAACAGGAUUAGAUACCCCUGUAGUC
rnacentral:rRNA from 1 species